UACGUAGGGUCCGAGCGUUGUCCGGAAUUAUUGGGCGUAAAGGGCUCGUAGGCGGUUCGUCACGUCGGGAGUGAAAACUCGGAGCUUAACUCCGAGCCUGCUUCCGAUACGGGCAGACUAGAGGUAGGCAGGGGAGAGCGGAACUCCUGGUGUAGCGGUGGAAUGCGCAGAUAUCAGGAAGAACACCGGUGGCGAAGGCGGUUCUCUGGGCCUGUACUGACGCUGAGGAGCGAAAGCGUGGGGAGCGAACAGG
rnacentral:rRNA from 1 species